UACGUAGGUGGCAAGCGUUGUCCGGAAUUACUGGGCGUAAAGGGCGUGUAGGCGGCCUUUUAAGUCAGACGUGAAAGGUCAGGGCUUAACCCUGGGACUGCGUUUGAGACUGAAGGGCUUGAGGAUCGGAGAGGGUAGUGGUAUUCCCAGUGUAGCGGUGAAAUGCGUAGAUAUUGGGAAGAACACCAGUGGCGAAGGCGACUGCUUGGACGACACCUGACGCUGAGGCGCGAAAGCUAGGGGAGCAAACGGG
rnacentral:misc_RNA from 1 species